UACGUAGGGCGCAAGCGUUGUCCGGAAUUAUUGGGCGUAAAGAGCUCGUAGGCGGCUUGUCACGUCGGGUGUGAAAGCCCGGGGCUUAACCCCGGGUCUGCAUUCGAUACGGGCUGGCUAGAGUGUGGUAGGGGAGAUCGGAAUUCCUGGUGUAGCGGUGAAAUGCGCAGAUAUCAGGAGGAACACCAAUGGCGAAGGCAGAUCUCUGGGCCGUAACUGACGCUGAGGAAGCGGAAAGCAUGGGGAGCGAACAGG
rnacentral:rRNA from 1 species